GACGAACGCUGUCGGCGUGCUUAACACAUGCAAGUCGAACGGAAAGGCCCUGCUUUUGUGGGGUGCUCGAGUGGCGAACGGGUGAGUAACACGUGAGUAACCUGCCCUUGACUUUGGGAUAACUUCAGGAAACUGGGGCUAAUACCGGAUAGGAGCUCCUGCUGCAUGGUGGGGGUUGGAAAGUUUCGGCGGUUGGGGAUGGACUCGCGGCUUAUCAGCUUGUUGGUGGGGUAGUGGCUUACCAAGGCUUUGACGGGUAGCCGGCCUGAGAGGGUGACCGGCCACAUUGGGACUGAGAUACGGCCCAGACUCCUACGGGAGGCAGCAGUGGGGAAUAUUGCACAAUGGGCGGAAGCCUGAUGCAGCAACGCCGCGUGCGGGAUGACGGCCUUCGGGUUGUAAACCGCUUUCGCCUGUGACGAAGCGUGAGUGACGGUAAUGGGUAAAGAAGCACCGGCUAACUACGUGCCAGCAGCCGCGGUGAUACGUAGGGUGCGAGCGUUGUCCGGAUUUAUUGGGCGUAAAGGGCUCGUAGGUGGUUGAUCGCGUCGGAAGUGUAAUCUUGGGGCUUAACCCUGAGCGUGCUUUCGAUACGGGUUGACUUGAGGAAGGUAGGGGAGAAUGGAAUUCCUGGUGGAGCGGUGGAAUGCGCAGAUAUCAGGAGGAACACCAGUGGCGAAGGCGGUUCUCUGGGCCUUUCCUGACGCUGAGGAGCGAAAGCGUGGGGAGCGAACAGGCUUAGAUACCCUGGUAGUCCACGCUGUAAACGGUGGGUACUAGGUGUGGGGUCCAUUCCACGGGUUCCGUGCCGUAGCUAACGCUUUAAGUACCCCGCCUGGGGAGUACGGCCGCAAGGCUAAAACUCAAAGGAAUUGACGGGGCCCCGCACAAGCGGCGGAGCAUGCGGAUUAAUUCGAUGCAACGCGUAGAACCUUACCUGGGUUUGACAUGGAUCGGGAGUGCUCAGAGAUGGGUGUGCCUCUUUUGGGGUCGGUUCACAGGUGGUGCAUGGCUGUCGUCAGCUCGUGUCGUGAGAUGUUGGGUUAAGUCCCGCAACGAGCGCAACCCUUGUUCACUGUUGCCAGCACGUUAUGGUGGGGACUCAGUGGAGACCGCCGGGGUCAACUCGGAGGAAGGUGGGGAUGACGUCAAGUCAUCAUGCCCCUUAUGUCCAGGGCUUCACGCAUGCUACAAUGGCUGGUACAGAGAGUGGCGAGCCUGUGAGGGUGAGCGAAUCUCGGAAAGCCGGUCUCAGUUCGGAUUGGUGUCUGCAACUCGACCUCAUGAAGUCGGAGUCGCUAGUAAUCGCAGAUCAGCAACGCUGCGGUGAAUACGUUCCCGGGGCU
rnacentral:rRNA from 1 species